UUUCAACAACGGAUCUCUUGGCUCUGGCAUCGAUGAAGAACGCAGCGAAAUGCGAUAAGUAAUGUGAAUUGCAGAAUUCAGUGAAUCAUCGAAUCUUUGAACGCACAUUGCGCCCGCCAGUAUUCUGGCGGGCAUGCCUGUCCGAGCGUCAUU
rnacentral:rRNA from 1 species